CGAACUCACCGAGCCUGCUGAUUGGGAGGCGAGAGCUCCCCCUCUAGGCCACCGUACCCCUCAAGAGAUGUAGAACCAAUGAUAAAGAUAAAAAGCAGGUUUAUCUUGGGGAAUUUGAACUCUUGAUCUUAAAUCUGUUUUAUUUUUCCCCUUCUGUCUCCUUUUCCAAUGUCUGCAGCCCACUUUGGCUUACACCCACACGGCUCGGCCCGCGUCUCCGGGGAGCUUCCCACAGCAGCCUCACACGUCCGGCUUCCAGGCGUCCCCUCAAACUGCACCCCGACACCCCUUCAUACAGCACCCGCAAGGUCAGCGUUUCUACCACAAGUGAGCCUGGAAGACCACCCAACCCACCCCCCAUCUCCCGUUGGCUGCUUCAGCGUCCUUCCCCAAGACCCACCCGCCCUCCGUGCCGGCGUGAAGAGGAAAGUUCUGUCUCGGACGAGCGACGCAUCCUUUCGAUUUCCUUCCCGCGUUUUCUCCGGGAACCUCGCGGAUUUUGCAAAACGGCGUUCUCGAAAAUGCCGACGCUUCCGUUGUCAAGGAGGGCGAGCGUGGCGUGGUUUCUUCCAAACUCCCGUUAGCCGGGUUGGAAGGGGGUUAGAGGGGGGGGGGUCGUGCGUUCAAAUCACGCUGCAGCGAACGAAGCGAAACCCAUCAAAUUUUCCGAAAGAAAAGCCGCGUUUUCUGCAACGGAGGGGAUGUAAUUCCCGAAGCGCGUUCAAAGUUGGCUUGACGCGGGGUUCAAAUUUGGUUUUUUUCCUCGCAGAGAAUUCUCGGCGGGCAAAAAUCCUCCAGAGAAAUCCCCCAACCCAACAAUUCUCAACUUCGGUUUCUUUUAAACGGGUGGGCUUCAACCCCCCCAGAAUCCCCCAGCCAGCAAACCAGUUUCGCAUUGAAUUGCCUUUAACCCGCUUAUUAAUUUAGCUUGUGGUGGGUUAUUUUUCCCCCCACUUUGCUGAAGUCAAGAUAUAUUACAUCGACUGCAUUCCCACCGUCUAUUAAGAAAGUUUAUUUAAAAUAAAAAUAAAAACUUAAUAAAAGUAGCCUAGAUACAUUUGUUGUUAAAUCUUCGCUUGGCUGGGGGAUUCUGGGAGCUGAAGUUCCGUCCCCCCCACCCACCCCCCCAGUCUUCAAAGGGACACAGUUCUUAAACACCUGUGACAUUCUUGUCAUGUACUUUGAAAGAAUUCUAUCCGAAGCCAGCUCGGUUAUACAGUAUCUUCUUCAGAUUAAAUGUUCUCUCUACUUAAUAGAUCGUCCUAAGGUUCUAGUCCUCAGGAUAUCUUCACUGCUCUUCCAUGAGCUUGUUCUGUUUUACGUCUUAAGUGGUUUUUAAAAGGUUGUCCCUGGAACUCAAACAGGUGUAACCAACUCCUGAAUAAAUUGGAAUAUUAUGCUAGA